rnacentral:lncRNA from 12 species
CUGGGUGUUGUUCUGUAUGUUGGCAAAUUGAACACCAAUAAAAAAUAAAUGUGUUAUUAAAAAAAAUGUUCUCCACUUUUAUUUCAACGCAGGAAACAAUCCAGUAGCCGAUAAACAUGGGCGAAAGAGGUCUUCUCCCGGACCGCGUGAGGAAGACGUGGGGUAACGUGUUUACAGUAUUUUCCCUUGCCACAUCAAGUCAACUCGGCUUGCCUGCCCGUUGUUCUCUGUAAAAUCCUAGAAUGAGACAUUUCUUCCAAAACAAAUACGACCUGGGUUUACGUCUCCUCGGUAAUGUUUGCUGUAACUUCUUCACAGAAACGAAAUACAGGAGAUGCUGCAAGGACUUGGAGGCAGAAUCUUCAUUUCAAAUAUUCUCAGCAGUUUCUGACUCUGUUAUGGGAGUGGGAUACCGACAUGAGGAAAGCCCAGGAACAGGAAGCAAAACUAGCUGUUGGUAUCAGCCUUGGCUUUAAAAUUGAUCUAUUCUGUUGAUUUCUUUACUGUUUCAAAGUCUCAAGUAUCAGGAGGUCAUGCAAAAACAUAGGAGAGAAUGUAGAGUCCGUGAGCCCAGAUGGGUAAGGGUGGGUAUAUGAUAGCCCAGAUGAGUAGUGGUGGGAGGCCGAACAUUCUAUUUGGAUGGCUUCUAUUUAGUGAUACAGGAAGGUCGCCAGUUAAGAGUUAGAGUGGUGGAGGAGGCGCUGCCUUUGGGCGGCAGAGAGGAAGUCCAGGAAUUGUUUCCUGAGAGCGGGCCAGCGAAUGCACUAGGGGAAUAUCAUUGCCAAGCAGCAUUAUGGGUCUGGCUUUGGUUACUGUCAUAGUGAUCAUGAAUUUAAAAGUGAGACCACACUGCACGGUUGUGGCAGAGUGGCUAGAGAGCUGGAUCCUCCAGGGUUGGGGUUCGGCCACACAGAUUGACAGAGUGGAAAGGGGGCAAGGUACACGCGCAAGUGCAGAGGUAUGACGAUUGACCAUGGAAUUUAAGCCAAGAAGGAGGAAAAGAGAGACUAGGAGAAUGGGGACUGGGGACAAGGAAGACUCCUUGGAUCAAUGGGAUAUUAAUCCUGAAAGAGUACUGAACCAUAGUAAGAAAGGGAGAGAACAACAAACAGGGAGGUAAAGGUAGAAUGUUGGUGGAGGGGCAGGGUGGAGAAACAGCAUAGCACAGUGGUCAGGAGCCUGGGCCCCGGAACCUUUUUAGCUUUUUUUUUUUUUUUUUUUUUUAAUCCAAUCCUGGUUGACCAGUACUUUGACCUCAGGGACAAAUUGUUUGUAUCUCACUCAUGUUCCUCAGCUAGGAAAGGAGGCCUGGUAAGAGCAUCUGCCUCUUAGAGUUGUUUUGAGGGUUGAAUGAGAUCGUAUGUAAUAAGUCUAUUUGAAAUGGUUCCGAACAGUACCUGUCACAGAGCUGCUAUGCAAGUCUUUGCUCUAAUUAAUCUUAUGUAGAUGUUGCAGUUAUUGGGAAUCCUGGGUCUG